rnacentral:lncRNA from 1 species
UUUCGAAAUCCGCUGUCCAUUUAAAGAAAUAGCGGCCGCUACCAACCGAAAUAGGUGACUCGACUACGAAGUUGACAGGACGUAUUCCCGAAGAUAACACCCCUCCCCAGGACCGCUUCUCUGAAAUCGUCAUUGGCCGAGUGGAUGACCCUAGGGUCCUGCCGGGGGAGGAAUCUUUGGCUGGAAACACAAUUGAAGGAACAUUCGAAUUUAGGAGAAGCAACAUGAGUAAUCCUGAGGAUAGGAAUGAAAGUGACAUGUCACUCCUGAUCCAAAGCUGGAAAGAGUGGGUUUGAGUUCUCCAUGUGUUCCUUUACCCGGCUGCAACGAUGUACAGCAUACCCGACAGCGACGCCUUCAUCAGUAAACUUCUAUCACUCAAGAUUGAAUCCUCAUCUUGUAUCAGAAUCAGCCAGCUGUCGGCCAAAAUUUGUGAUCCUGUGCAGAGAAUUGAGUUGUCACUGGAAGCAGCUACCCAGACAAGGACUAGAUUUUCCCAUUCCUCCUGCACCAGAAGUUGUCUUCCUUCCGAUGCCAACCUGUGGAAUGUGAGCACAAGUGAUGUGUGGCAUUUUCAGGUCAAGAUUUAAGAAGCAGGUGUUCUUUCUCCAUUGUCUCUCUCCUUCCACCAGCUGGAUUCAUUUGAAGAUGGGGCCCUAGGGGGGGACUCAAAUGCAAGAUGGAAGGAGACUGGAUCCUCGAAUCACAGCGUGGAGAAAAGCUGCUUGCCAAUCGGGAAUACUUGCCUUAGGUGGUUAAAUGAAUGAGAACUAAACCUGUUAUGUUUGUGUCAUUUAUUUUUGGGUCUAUUAUUGCUGCCCCACCAUUACUCUAAUUCAGAAAUUGGUACUUUGAAGGAAAUGCUGCUAUAAGGAAAACCUAAGGUAACUGUAUUUGGUUAAAGAUUUGGGCAGCAGAUGGCAAAGAAACAGAUGUUGGAUGCUGGAAAGAUGGAGAUCCAUGUUAUGCAUUGGCAAGGCAUUUGUAAAAGUAUGUCUAUGAUAAAAAGCAGGAUCCAUUACUGUAAUGGACCAGUGACUGCUACAUAUUCCCAUUUCUUCUCUUUCAUCAUAGGAAUUUUUAUUAUGGUUUUCUUGUCCCUGUUUUGUCAUCAUCUAGUGUGAGGGGAGAUAACUUCUCUGUAUAUUUGUAUAUCACCAUACUGAGAAGAGCUUUAGAUGGGAAGCCUUCCUAUCACCCAAAGAUACUGGACGUUGAGCUGUAUGCUUGAAUUGGAUUGGACUUUUGUAUGUGUCCUUGGAGUGAGAAAAGAAGGGUUUGCAUGUGAGAAAAGAAGGGUGUCCAUGAAUAUUUGGCGAAAAGAAUGGCAGAAUGAGAAAGAGCCAAAAUUUCUGCUCCCUCUUCUAUGUUAUACACCAAAUUUCAUCUAACCUAGGAUUUCAUUGGUUGUCAAAUACACAGUUUGUAUGUACUACUAAGAUAGAAAAAAUGCUGCCAACUAAAUAUGAAUUUGCAUUGAAUAAUUGUCCUUGAUUGAACAAUGCAUUCCUACCAAAGAGAUAUUAAAGUGUGAAAAAAAUGUGUAGAUUAGGAGUGAUGAAAAACACUAACUUUUCUGAGAACUGACUGUCCCAUCUGAGACAGUAUUUCCUAAUUUUCUUUGUACCCAGGUGUUGCCUUGAGACUAGUUCUCACCAACAGAGUAUGAGUAGAAGUGAGCUGUGUCACUUCUGGGCCAGACUCCUUAAGAUGUGAGUAUCUUGUCCAUUCUCUCUCUUUACUUCCGUAGCUGAAACCAGAUGACCAUGAGAUCCAGGAGACAGCAGAGCCAAAAGGGAAAAAAAACCCUGGAUUCCUGAAUCACCAAAUGGAAGAAAGCCACCCACAGAUCAGUAACACCCAUCCUGGCCUGUGAUGUGAGUGAGAAAGAAACUUUGAUUUUACAUAAGGUAUAUAUUUUUGGCAUUUAUUUGUUACCACAGUUAAUAUGACCCUAAUUAACACACUCUCUUACCUGUGUUAUAGUAAGGAUUAAAGAGAUUAUUAUGUGUAAAGCUCUUAGAAGAGUAUCUGGAAUAUAAUAAGCAUUAAAUGAAUAUUGACUAUCAUUAUUAUUUAGAAUGCUCUUUAGAAAUGCAAAUAGCUUUGGAAGGGUGAUAUUAAACUUUUAUCUUUGGAAGUUAGAAAGUUAUACUAGAAAACAACUUACAACUCAAUGAAUCCAAGCUCUGUCACUUCAGAGAUAAGUAAAUGAAGUCCCUGAAAGGAUGAAUGCCUUGCUGUAAAAUCACUUUAUCAGUCGUAAGUACUUUAGUAUAAAUUAGUUGCUCUGUUUCAGCCAGGAAAGAGCAGACUGCUAUAGGAAUGAGACUGUGGAGGGGGAGAAGGAGUGCAGAUGCCUUUGGAGUUGGAUUAUUAUUUGGGAAGGAAAGCCUGGGAUUGGGGCUCUUGGCAGUCAAAGCAAAGAAGAACAGGAUACUCGGUGAGAGAGUUGAGUGAGGCAAGAAAAAACUACACAAUAACAUUUUCAUCCCCAGUUACUAAAUAGAGUGAUUCAUCCAAAGUUGCUUAGUAAAAAGCAACAAAUAUAUUUCGGAUGCUUGUUGGCAUAAAUUCCCUUUAUUUGGAAAUUACUUCUGGAAAAGCCUCUGUUGGAGAGGUGCGCCUUGGUGGCCAUGUUGAUACAAUGCAUCUUGGUUCCUCUACUAUGGCAGAUUGGAACAGAGAUGAACACAUCACCCAAGCGGGGACAGUCAGCAUCUUCUCUCAGAACCAAUGUGGAAUUGGUUCUCUCAGAGUGUGUGUUAGCUGUGGGCUGCCUAUGUAUUAAGUAGCAUCAUGCCUGAAGUCAGUUUUACGGCCUAGAAAAAGCUGUGUGCAGGCCAAAACCAUAGAAGAGCAGAAGUUUUGACUAAGCGAAAGGAUCUCGUCUGCAGAGAUAAGAAUGGGGCAGACAUUCAGAAAAUAGCAAAGAAGAAAGGCCGUGUGGCUCCAGGACUUACGGAGCAUGACUCCCCCCGCCCCGACAGCUCCCAUCCUCAGCUCCUGUGAGGCUGGCUUGAAUAGUGCUUUCAUGAGUUCUUUCUGUCCUUAAAAAUAAACCCCCUUUUAAAAAUCUGAGCUGAAUUAGU